GGGAUUGCCCUAGUAACGGCGAGUGAAGCGGCAACAGCUCAAAUUUGAAAGCUAGCCUUCGGGUUCGCAUUGUAAUUUGUAGAGGAUGAUUUGGGGAAGCCGCCUGUCUAAGUUCCUUGGAACAGGACGUCAUAGAGGGUGAGAAUCCCGUAUGUGACAGGAAAUGGCACCCUAUGUAAAUCUCCUUCGACGAGUCGAGUUGUUUGGGAAUGCAGCUCUAAAUGGGAGGUAAAUUUCUUCUAAAGCUAAAUAUUGGCGAGAGACCGAUAGCGCACAAGUAGAGUGAUCGAAAGAUGAAAAGCACUUUGGAAAGAGAGUUAAAAAGCACGUGAAAUUGUUGAAAGGGAAGCGCUUGCAAUCAGACUUGUUUAAACUGUUCGGCCGGUCUUCUGACCGGUUUACUCAGUUUGGACAGGCCAGCAUCAGUUUCGGCGGCCGGAUAAAGGCUCUGGGAAUGUGGCCUCCACUUCGGUGGAGGUGUUAUAGCCCAGGGUGUAAUACGGCCAGCCGGGACUGAGGUCCGCGCUUCGGCUAGGAUGCUGGCG
rnacentral:rRNA from 1 species